rnacentral:tRNA from 1 species
AAGGUUUUAAGUUAAUUAAACUAAUAGCCUUCAAAGCUGCAAAUAAAGAAAUUCUUUAAGCCUUA